rnacentral:rRNA from 1 species
UGGGGAAUUUUGGACAAUGGGCGAAAGCCUGAUCCAGCCAUGCCGCGUGCAGGAUGAAGGCCUUCGGGUUGUAAACUGCUUUUGUACGGAACGAAAAGCCUCUUUCUAAUAAAGAGAGGUCAUGACGGUACCGUAAGAAUAAGCACCGGCUAACUACGUGCCAGCAGCCGCGGUAAUACGUAGGGUGCAAGCGUUAAUCGGAAUUACUGGGCGUAAAGCGUGCGCAGGCGGUUUUGUAAGACAGAGGUGAAAUCCCCGGGCUCAACCUGGGAACUGCCUUUGUGACUGCAAGGCUGGAGUGCGGCAGAGGGGGAUGGAAUUCCGCGUGUAGCAGUGAAAUGCGUAGAUAUGCGGAGGAACACCGAUGGCGAAGGCAAUCCCCUGGGCCUGCACCUGACGCUCAUGCACGAAAGCGUGGGGAGCAAACAGGAUUAGAUACCCUGGUAGUCCACGCCCUAAACGAUGUCAACUGGUUGUUGGGUCUUCACUGACUCAGUAACGAAGCUAACGCGUGAAGUUGACCGCCUGGGGAGUACGGCCGCAAGGUUGAAACUCAAAGGAA